UACGAUAUUACAAAAUACCUUAUAUACUCACCUUUAAAAACUGUGGAUUGGACCACGCACAAUGUUUUACAAAACAUUUAGAAGUAAUGUAAAUGAAAACUACAUAACAAUCCAAAAAGACAAAGAACAGUUUAGUACCAUAAAUAACACGUACAAAUAUUUAACAGUUGAAGUAUCCACUUUUAUCAUGUCAACAUCAAUUUUUUCUCAAAAUAAUAAUUAGUUAACUUCAUCCCUUAAUGUGCCUAGACCAAAUCAGGAUCGCACCAUGGUGCUAGGAACAGGAGCAUCGAAGUGCUAGUAACAGAAAUACCGAACUACAAAAUAGGAUACCCCUAUUAGUAUGUCAAUCAUAUCCUAACUAUUUAACUAAAUUUCUAAAAUCUUGUUACAGUAUUUUUAGAACAACUAAAUUUCUAAAAUCUUGUUACAGUAUUUUCAGAACAACCAUAUUAAUGUUUCAAAUAAGUUUACCAUUUCAAAACAAUAUAUAUCCAAAAUCACAACUACCAUAAGACAAGACAAUAGUUCCAACCAUAACAUUAACCAAAUCAAAAUUCAAGCUUUCAUUAACAUUUUCACCGGAAAACUUAACUUGAAAGUCAUGAAUAAAUUUUUUUUUUUGCCCCUACCCAAAUUGUUACCAUUGUUCGACAUUGUUGAACUUUUCACACAUGUUCGUAACCACACUUUUAUUAACACUUGAACAUUAAUAUAUAACAACACAUUCAAUUAAUAACAAUAAAAUAAUAAAAAUCAAUAUUAAUUUAAGAUAAGCAUGUUAAUGAAUUUCUUAUAUAUCUUACCACACAAAAAUAUUCAAAAAGUGUUGAAGCAGCCUAAAUCCACCUUAAAUCUACUACUAGUUUUUCCUUUCCCUUACUAGCAUUUCCCAUUCCUCCUUCAAUUUAUUUCAUAAACAAUAAAUAUCCCUUAACUCAUAAUCACUAAAUAGCCAUUAAUAUGACUCAAUAACUUAAAAUAAAUAUGAUAUAAGAUAAAAACUAUAAAACCCAAACCUUGGUUACCUUUCUUCUUCCUUCUAAUACACUUUCACUCACUAGGAUUCAAAACCCUAAAUACUUGGACGAUGGGGAUGAUGAAGGUUAUGACUCAAUAAAGGAUUCGCUAAGAUAGUUUGGUAAGAAAAUGAUGGAAGAAUGUUGAGAAAAGAGAAGAAAAGUGUGUAGAAAUGGAGGAGAAAUGAAGAAAAACGGCGUUGGUUUCCUUUAAAUAUGGUCGGCCACACGUUUGUAGAGGAGAGAAGAUGUUUUCUCUUUCUUCUUUAUUCUCGUUUAUGACAUAAAAUAAUGUUAAAUUGGUCAACAAAUCAAAAU
rnacentral:lncRNA from 1 species